AACUAAAAAACAAAUCUUUGUGCUUCAGUUUCGGCCUGAUUUUUGGCUUUAAGGCCUUUAGUUA
rnacentral:tRNA from 1 species